rnacentral:misc_RNA from 1 species
GUUGAAAUCUGAAGGUGGAGAGAGAGAGAGAGCUGCUUCAUGCCUCUCUCUUCAUUCCUCCUUGGACAAAAUUCAAAAUCCAUUACUUAAAACCCUAGUUUUUUUCAAUCAAUUUCCCCCAAAGUUGUUUGGGGAAAUUCAAUUUUUCAAUUGGGGGAAAUAAACCUACAAGCAUGAGUAGCAGGAGAGAAGAAGAGAGGAA